GUGCCUGCUCAGCAGCACACAUACUAACAUUGGAAUGAUAGGACUAGCAUGACCUCUGGACAAGGAUGCCAUGUGAAUUCGUGAAGUAUUCCAUAUUUUU
ensembl:snRNA U6 U6 spliceosomal RNA